rnacentral:rRNA from 1 species
AGAGUUUGAUCCUGGCUCAGGAUGAACGCUAGCUACAGGCUUAACACAUGCAAGUCGAGGGGAAACGGCAUUGAGUGCUUGCACUCUUUGGACGUCGACCGGCGCACGGGUGAGUAACGCGUAUCCAACCUUCCCAUUACUGUGGGAUAACCUGCCGAAAGGCAGACUAAUACCGCAUAGUCUUCGAUGACGGCAUCAGAUUUGAAGUAAAGAUUUAUCGGUAAUGGAUGGGGAUGCGUCUGAUUAGCUUGUUGGCGGGGUAACGGCCCACCAAGGCGACGAUCAGUAGGGGUUCUGAGAGGAAGGUCCCCCACAUUGGAACUGAGACACGGUCCAAACUCCUACGGGAGGCAGCAGUGAGGAAUAUUGGUCAAUGGGCGAGAGCCUGAACCAGCCAAGUAGCGUGCAGGAUGACGGCCCUAUGGGUUGUAAACUGCUUUUGUAUGGGGAUAAAGUUAGGGACGUGUCCCUAUUUGCAGGUACCAUACGAAUAAGGACCGGCUAAUUCCGUGCCAGCAGCCGCGGUAAUACGGAAGGUCCGGGCGUUAUCCGGAUUUAUUGGGUUUAAAGGGAGCGUAGGCCGGAGAUUAAGUGUGUUGUGAAAUGUAGACGCUCAACGUCUGACUUGCAGCGCAUACUGGUUUCCUUGAGUACGCACAACGUUGGCGGAAUUCGUCGUGUAGCGGUGAAAUGCUUAGAUAUGACGAAGAACUCCGAUUGCGAAGGCAGCUGACGGGAGCGCAACUGACGCUUAAGCUCGAAGGUGCGGGUAUCGAACAGGAUUAGAUACCCUGGUAGUCCGCACAGUAAACGAUGGAUGCCCGCUGUUAGCGCCUGGCGUUAGCGGCUAAGCGAAAGCAUUAAGCAUCCCACCUGGGGAGUACGCCGGCAACGGUGAAACUCAAAGGAAUUGACGGGGGCCCG